rnacentral:rRNA from 1 species
AACGGCAGCACGGGUGCUUGCRCCUGGUGGCGAGUGGCGAACGGGUGAGUAAUACAUCGGAACAUGUCCUGUAGUGGGGGAUAGCCCGGCGAAAGCCGGAUUAAUACCGCAUACGAUCUACGGAUGAAAGCGGGGGACCUUCGGGCCUCGCGCUAUAGGGUUGGCCGAUGGCUGAUUAGCUAGUUGGUGGGGUAAAGGCCCACCAAGGCGACGAUCAGUAGCUGGUCUGAGAGGACGACCAGCCACACUGGGACUGAGACACGGCCCAGACUCCUACGGGAGGCAGCAGUGGGGAAUUUUGGACAAUGGGCGAAAGCCUGAUCCAGCAAUGCCGCGUGUGUGAAGAAGGCCUUCGGGUUGUAAAGCACUUUUGUCCGGAAAGAAAUCCUGAGGGCUAAUAUCCUUCGGGGAUGACGGUACCGGAAGAAUAAGCACCGGCUAACUACGUGCCAGCAGCCGCGGUAAUACGUAGGGUGCGAGCGUUAAUCGGAAUUACUGGGCGUAAAGCGUGCGCAGGCGGUUUGUUAAGACCGAUGUGAAAUCCCCGGGCUCAACCUGGGAACUGCAUUGGUGACUGGCAAGCUAGAGUAUGGCAGAGGGGGGUAGAAUUCCACGUGUAGCAGUGAAAUGCGUAGAGAUGUGGAGGAAUACCGAUGGCGAAGGCAGCCCCCUGGGCC